UAAAUUUGCAGGUAAGAGUGCAAGACUUAAAUAAGGCCUUUGCCCUCAUUGCAUCUGGAUCUUAGAUUCAGUUAGUUCUCAAGCUCUGUUGCCAGUAACAGAUCUGCCUUUGAAUAAACUGGUGUGGCCGCAGUAUCCUGUAUUUCAUGUUUAACCUAAAAGAUCCCUGUGGGUCAAAGCCAAUAAUAAAUAAUUUCAGA